GUAUAGACCCGAAACCCGGUGAUCUAGCCAUGGGCAGGUUGAAGGUUGGGUAACACUAACUGGAGGACCGAACCGACUAAUGUUGAAAAAUUAGCGGAUGACUUGUGGCUGGGGGUGAAAGGCCAAUCAAACCGGGAGAUAGCUGGUUCUCCCCGAAAGCUAUUUAGGUAGCGCCUCGUGAAUUCAUCUCCGGGGGUAGAGCACUGUUUCGGCAAGGGGGUCAUCCCGACUUACCAACCCGAUGCAAACUGCGAAUACCGGAGAAUGUUAUCACGGGAGACACACGGCGGGUGCUAACGUCCGUCGUGAAGAGGGAAACAACCCAGACCGCCAGCUAAGGUCCCAAAGUCAUGGUUAAGUGGGAAACGAUGUGGGAAGGCCCAGACAGCCAGGAUGUUGGCUUAGAAGCAGCCAUCAUUUAAAGAAAGCGUAAUAGCUCACUGGUCGAGUCGGCCUGCGCGGAAGAUGUAACGGGGCUAAACCAUGCAC
rnacentral:rRNA from 1 species